rnacentral:tRNA from 1 species
UAGUUCAGUGGUAGAGGAUAGAGCAACGCCCUUCUAAGGCGUGUGUCCGGGGUUCGAAUCCCUGUGCGCUCACCA